UGGCGGACGGGUGAGUAAUGUCUGGGAAACUGCCUGAUGGAGGGGGAUAACUACUGGAAACGGUAGCUAAUACCGCAUAACGUCGCAAGACCAAAGAGGGGGACCUUCGGGCCUCUUGCCAUCGGAUGUGCCCAGAUGGGAUUAGCUAGUAGGUGGGGUAAAGGCUCACCUAGGCGACGAUCCCUAGCUGGUCUGAGAGGAUGACCAGCCACACUGGAACCGAGACACGGUCCAG
rnacentral:rRNA from 1 species